rnacentral:rRNA from 1 species
ACACGACUACAUUAGAUACCCCCGUAGUCCUAGCCGUAAACGAUACUCGCUAGGUGUCGGCCACGGUGCGACCGUUGUCGGUGCCGUAGGGAAGCCGUGAAGCGAGCCACCUGGGAAGUACGGCCGCAAGGCUGAAACUUAAAGGAAUUGGCGGGGGAGCACCACAACGGGUGGAGCUUGCGGUUUAAUUGGAUUCAACGCCGGAAAUCUUACCGGGACCGACAGCAACAUGAAGGCCAGGCUGAAGACUUUGCCGGAUUUAGCUG